rnacentral:rRNA from 1 species
GAUGAACGCUGGCGGCGUGCCUAAUACAUGCAAGUCGAGCGGAGAAAUUAAAGCUUGCUUUAAUUUCUUAGCGGCGGACGGGUGAGUAACACGUAAGUAAUCUGCCUUUUAGACUGGGAUAACACCGAGAAAUCGGUGCUAAUACCGGAUGAUAAUUUUACUCGCAUGAGUGAAAUUUGAAAGUUGGCUUCUGCUAACACUGAGAGAUGAGCUUGCGGCGCAUUAGCUAGUUGGUGAGGUAACGGCUCACCAAGGCGACGAUGCGUAGCCGACCUGAGAGGGUGAUCGGCCACACUGGGACUGAGACACGGCCCAGACUCCUACGGGAGGCAGCAGUAGGGAAUCUUCCGCAAUGGACGAAAGUCUGACGGAGCAACGCCGCGUGAGUGAUGAAGGCCUUCGGGUCGUAAAGCUCUGUUGUUAGGGAAGAACAAGUAGUAUUCGAAUAGGGUGCUACCUUGACGGUACCUAACCAGAAAGCCACGGCUAACUACGUGCCAGCCGCCGCCGUAAAAC